AUGUACAGAGCCCUGUCGAGAGCUAGGAGGAUGCAUUUGGCUGCAGUGAAGCUGAACCUAAAAUCAUGUUCACCCCACAGAUGGACAGCCCAGGCACCACUCUUUACCACACCAAGUGGACAGCGAUUUCCAUUUGGCUGUAGAAAGCUGAUGUUUUCAGUAGUGUUAGAGCCACGGUGUAUUCAAGGUCAGAGCUGGGAACAUUCCAACAACAAAUCUCUAUCGUGGACAGCAAUCCGUGGAAAAGAAAGUUGUCCCAUUGGAUGCUGCAUUGAAAAUUUACAGAAAUUCAGAGAAUUGGGUUGAUCAAGAGACCUAG
rnacentral:lncRNA from 1 species